ACAGUUCUACUGUAACAUAUAAAAUAUUUGUGUCGUUGUUAAUAUUUCUUUCUAUUCGUUUCAAUGGUUUAUUUGAACUGGUUUCUCUAGUUUCUAUAGGAGGCAUACCGGUCUCGAUUUCCUUUAAUUUACCGUUACAUUUAUUCGGAACACUCUUCACGGCAUUUGUCUUAAUAUUCCAAAGAGUGGACAAAUAUCAUAGUCAAUGCGGAGUUUAAUGUCUCGAAUGGAUAUGGCGGGAAUUUACAGGAAACAAAAUUAAGCAAUAAGUUUUUUUU
rnacentral:lncRNA from 1 species